UACGGGGGAGCAAGCGUUGUUCGGAUUUACUGGCGUAAAGGGCGCGUAGGCGGCCACCGCAAGUCGACUGUGAAAUCUCCGGGCUUAACCCGGAAAGGUCAGCCGAUACUGCGGGGCUAGAGUGCAGAAGGGGCAACUGGAAUUCUCGGUGUAGCGGUGAAUGCGUAGAUAUCGAGAGGAACACCUGCGGCGAAGGCGGGUUGCUGGGCUGACACUGACGCUGAGGCGCGAAGCUAGGGAGCGAACGGG
rnacentral:rRNA from 1 species